UUAAGUUCAGCGGGUAUCCCUACCUGAUCCGAGGUCAACCAUAGAAAGUUUCCUUGUGAAAGGAGAGGACCGGGUCCCGGGUGCCCUUGUCCGAUACGUGCUCGGUGAAAAGCUCAGUGUACCGGGGGAACCACAGGCCGCCGUCAUUGUCUUUAGGAGGGGUCGAUCGCUCGACCGGCCGUCCAACACCAAGCACGGGG
rnacentral:misc_RNA from 1 species